UACGAAGGGGGCUAGCGUUGUUCGGAAUCACUGGGCGUAAAGCGCACGUAGGCGGACUUUUAAGUCAGGGGUGAAAUCCCAAGGCUCAACCUUGGAACUGCCUUUGAUACUGGAAGUCUUGAGUUCGGGAGAGGUGAGUGGAACUGCGAGUGUAGAGGUGAAAUUCGUAGAUAUUCGCAAGAACACCAGUGGCGAAGGCGGCUCACUGGCCCGAUACUGACGCUGAGGUGCGAAAGCGUGGGGAGCAAACAGG
rnacentral:rRNA from 1 species